rnacentral:rRNA from 1 species
UACGAAGGGGGGCUAGCGUUGCUCGGAAUCACUGGGCGUAAAGCGCACGUAGGCGGCUUUCUAAGUCAGGGGUGAAAUCCUGGAGCUCAACUCCAGAACUGCCUUUGAUACUGGAGAGCUAGAGUCCGGAAGAGGUGAGUGGAACUGCGAGUGUAGAGGUGAAAUUCGUAGAUAUUCGCAAGAACACCAGUGGCGAAGGCGGCUCACUGGUCCGGUACUGACGCUGAGGUGCGAAAGCGUGGGGGAGCAAACAGG